rnacentral:rRNA from 1 species
UGGCGGAACGGGUGAGUAACGCGUGGGAAUCUACCUGGUAGUGGGGGACAACAGUCGGAAACGACUGCUAAUACCGCAUACGCCCUUCGGGGGAAAGUGGGGGAUCUUCGGACCUCACGCUAUCAGAUGAGCCCGCGUCGGAUUAGCUUGUUGGUGAGGUAAAGGCUCACCAAGGCGAUGAUCCGUAGCUGGUCUGAGAGGAUGACCAGCCACACUGGGACUGAGACACGGCCCAGACUCCUACGGGAGGCAGCAGUGGGGAAUAUUGGACAAUGGGGGCAACCCUGAUCCAGCCAUGCCGCGUGUGUGAAGAAGGCCUUCGGGUUGUAAAGCACUUUCAGCUGUGAGGAAAGGUGAGUGGUUAAUACCCGCUUGCUGUGACGUUAACAGCAGAAGAAGGACCGGCUAA